rnacentral:rRNA from 1 species
CCUACGGGGCGCAGCAGUUGGGAAUAUUGGACAAUGGAGGAAACUCUGAUCCAGUGACGCCGCGUGAAGGAAGAAGGUCUUCGGAUUGUAAACUUAUUUUAUCAGGGAAGAAAAAAAUGACUGUACCUGAAGAAGAAGCACCGGCUAACUACGGGCCAGCAGCCGCGGUAAUACGUAGGGUGCAGGCGUUAUCCGGAUUUAUUGGGUUUAAAGGGUGCGCAGGCGGUCUGUUAAGUCAGCGGUCAAAGCCCGGGGCUCAACCCCGGCCCGCCGUUGAAACUGGCAGUCUCGAGUUGGAGAGAAGU